GCUAUAGCGCAGUGGCUAGCGCACUUGGUUCGGGACCAAGGGGUCGGCAGUUCAAAUCUGCCUAGC
rnacentral:tRNA from 1 species